GAAUGGGAUAACUCCGGGAAACCGGGGCUAAUACCGGAUGGUUGUUUGAACCGCAUGGUUCAAACAUAAAAGGUGGCUUCGGCUACCACUUACAGAUGGACCCGCGGCGCAUUAGCUAGUUGGUGAGGUAACGGCUCACCAAGGCAACGAUGCGUAGCCGACCUGAGAGGGUGAUCGGCCACACUGGGACUGAGACACGGCCCAGACUCCUACGGGAGGCAGCAGUAGGGAAUCUUCCGCAAUGGACGAAAGUCUGACGGAGCAACGCCGCGUGAGUGAUGAAGGUUUUCGGAUCGUAAAGCUCUGUUGUUAGGGAAGAACAAGUACCGUUCGAAUAGGGCGGUACCUUGACGGUACCUAACCAGAAAGCCACGGCUAACUACGUGCCAGCAGCCGCGGUAAUACGUAGGUGGCAAGCGUUGUCCGGAAUUAUUGGGCGUAAAGGGCUCGCAGGCGGUUUCUUAAGUCUGAUGUGAAAGCCCCCGGCUCAACCGGGGAGGGUCAUUGGAAACUGGGGAACUUGAGUGCAGAAGAGGAGAGUGGAAUUCCACGUGUAGCGGUGAAAUGCGUAAAGAUGUGGAGGAACACCCAGUGGCGAAGGCGACUCUCUGGUCUGUAACUGACGCUG
rnacentral:rRNA from 1 species